GGAGGCAGUUUAGCUUCGAACAUAUUUUCAGUAAGCACAAACAAACCGUUAUGAGCUCGUCAUCGAGGGCAGCUUUGCGUCGGAAAUUUGAGGCGCAUUUAGGAGGCCCUCCUAACGAUCAAACUAGAUGUGUUACACAUUGCAAGGUAUGGCCGAAAGGUGUAGAGCCACUCUAUUGCUGUUGCCAGAUGCGUUGUGUUCCCAACAUAUCCCGGGAGUACGAGACUUUUGGCCAGAGGUAUUGGUCUUGUAAGAAUAUUGAGGAAGUUCAAAAAGCGGUUGCAAUAUCACAGUCCUUGUGAUCAGCAAUAUGUGGCGUGGUUGAAGAAGGUGGAUGAUGAUGUACGCAAGUCCGGCAUUGAGAAAGCAGAACGAGUGGGACGUGGAAACGGUACUGGCCGUGAAUGAUGGAUGUUGUAGUGGACCGUUUCAUUCGGAUCGGUCCAAUUGUUUGAAUAAGUUAUGUUCCUUCCCGGCCAAUAUAUUACGUGUUUGUUUCGGAGGCCUCUUCUAGGUCCCUAUGUAAUAUUUUUUCUGCGUGCUUUCUAUGUGUACUCGUUGUAGUUUUGGAGGUUGUUCUCGUUUGUAAUAAAACCGUGCAUCAUCCGGCUC